CGCAUUCUGCAACAGUGGUUUUGAUUGUUGUCACCAAAGUAGUGUCUCUGAAAGUUAGUCCCUGUGAGGGAGUUGAGGGAGUGGAUACUGCUACAAAUGUUGAGGUUCUUGUUAUUACUGUAGUAGUACCACUUGUUAAUGGCAUUAUUGGUCUUAGAGUAGUGACAUCACUUGUGACUGUCGAUGUAGCAGUGGGAGUUGUGGCAUCACUUGAAGUGACUGUAGACGUAGUUGAAGUAGUGGUGGCAUCGCUUGAAGUGACUGUGGAUGUAGUUGAGGGAGUGGUGGCAUCACUUGAAGUGACUGUAGACGUAGUUGAAGUAGUGGUGGCAUCACUUGAAGUGACUGUGGAUGUAGUUGAAGGAGUGGUGGCAUCACUUGAAGUGACUGUUGAUGUAGUUGAGGGAGUGGUGGCAUCACUUGAAGUGACUGUUGAUGUAGUUGAAGGAGUGGUGGUAUCACUUGUAGUGACUGUUGAUGUCAUUGAGGGAAUGGUGGCAUCACUUGAAGUGACUAUUAAUAUAGUUGAGGUGGUGGUGGCAUCACUUGAAGUGACUGUUGAUGUAGUUGAGGGAGUGGUGGCAUCACUUGAAGUGACUGUUGAUGUAGUUGAGGGAGUGGUGGAAUCACUUGAAGUGACUGUUGAUGUAGUUGAGGGAGUGGUGGCAUCACUUGAAGUGACUAUUAAUAUAGUUGAGGGAGUGGUGGAAUCACUUGAAGUGACUGUUGAUGUAGUUGAGUGAGUGGUGGCAUCACUUGAAGUGACUGUUGAUGUAGUGGUGGUGGUGGCAUCACUUAG
ensembl:lncRNA